GACGAACGCUGGCGGCGUGCUUAACACAUGCAAGUCGAGCGGUAAGGCCCUUUCGGGGGUACACGAGCGGCGAACGGGCGAGUAACACGUGGGUGACCUGCCCUCAGCUCUGGGAUAAGCCUGGGAAACUGGGUCUAAUACUGGAUAUGACUCCACGGUGCAUGUCGUGGGGUGGAAAGCCUUGUGCGGCUGAGGAUGGGCCCGCGGCCUAUCAGCUUGUUGGUGGGGGUGANGGCCUACCAAGGCGACGACGGGUAGCCGGCCUGAGAGGGCGACCGGCCACACUGGGACUGAGACACGGCCCAGACUCCUACGGGAGGCAGCAGUGGGGAAUCUUGCGCAAUGGGCGAAAGCCUGACGCAGCGACGCCGCGUGAGGGAUGACGGCCUGGUU
rnacentral:rRNA from 1 species